ACGAUUUAGAUUUGUCUCCUGAAUAUAAAACUUCCAAGAAGUACAUCAUAUAUGAAUAUCCUGUAUCCUCGCAUUUGAUGUAUUGAACUGGCGAUAGAAUGAAAUCAGUCAGUGUUAAAAAUGUAUGUGUAAAAGCGACUUUAAGAUGAUGGAGAUUUGUACACUGAACAUAAAACUUCCAAAAUUUGGGGCAGUAUGUCAUAUGUGCAUAAUCUGUAUCCUGGCAUUUGAUGCAAUGAACUGGCGAUAGAAUGAAAUAAUGAAAAAUAGGCAGGCUGUUUGAUGUAUAAGGAAGUGGCGAUAGAAUACUUAUGCAACACUUCACACUUCACGCC